UACGUAGGGUGCAAGCGUUAAUCGGAAUGACCGGGCGUAAAGGGAGCGCAGGCGGUUCGUUAAGUCUGGAGUGAAAGCCCGGGGCUCAACCCCGGAGGGUCUUCGGAUACUGACGGACUCGAGUACGGAAGAGGAGAGUGGAAUUCCAGGUGUAGCGGUGAAAUGCGUAGAUAUCUGGAGGAACACCGGUGGCGAAAGCGGCUCUCUGGUCCGAUACUGACGCUCAGGCUCGAAAGCGUGGGGAGCAAACGGGAUUAGAAACCCCAGUAGU
rnacentral:rRNA from 1 species